GGUAUGCUGCCUUUGCUGAUGGGGAGUUUGCUGUUACACAACGUAUCAAAAAGAUAUCAUGUCAAGAAGGCAUCAAACCAGAUGGGAUUGGAUUGAUGGACCAUCUUGCUGGAAAAUAGUCCUAUGAAAAGACUGCUUUGUGCAUCCAUAACCAAUUCUCCGUGGACUGAUUCUGAAAUGGAGCAGUGUUAUGUUGAAUUCCAUACAGGGAAGUUGCUGUUAAGAUAAAGACCUAUGUCUGGAGCCAGUUUUGCAUCGAUUAGCCAAUGCAUUUCAGCAUUCCUGACAGUGUGUACCUAUGUGUGUAUUUGUUCUUCAAAUUCUCCUUUGAACCAGUCUUAACAUCUUACUGUUCCUUCAUUAAUUAAUAACUGAAUACCAUAUUUGUUAUGUCUUCAGUUUAUAUUUGCAUGAUACCUGUGUUUUUAACUUUUUGGAAAUUAUACUUUGGCAGUUUUGUAACUCCUUCACCAGGACACCCAAAUGGACUCACUAGGAAGAAUCAAAUAAAUUGUACUGUGGGAGAGGUUGCACCUCCUGGGCUAUUUAAGCUAAGGUAGCUCGUCUCUUGGUUACCAGAGAGAAUCCCAAGUGGCAGUAGAACUUUAACUUUCUGAAUAUCUAAUUCUGUAGCUGUCUGUCUGUCUUUUAUUUCCCUCUACUGGUCUUAUAUUUUGAUUUCUAGAUCUUGCCUGACCAGUAAAUUAUCAACCACUGGUGAAACAAUUUUCAAGAAUUUGAUUUUUAUCUCUGACUGUUUGGUGAUCUCGGUCAGAUGGAUGAUGGGAACCUAUUCUUUGUUGAUGUGAGAUGACUGUGAAUGUGGUUUGUGAGUCAUUGUGUCUAUUUUUGGGUCUGCUUAUGAGCUCAGAUCAAUUAAGAAAUAUUUUAUGCCCCCUUUUAAGAGAAGCAGGUCUUUGAGAUCUGGAUCAAUGAGUUUUGUUUGUGUGUGUGUGUGUUUACUUUUGAUCUGUGGCUGAAGUUGCAGGACCACAGCUGUAUGUUCUUUGCAACUGUGUAGCAACAUGUCUAUAACUAAGAAAAGUCUUGACUUCUAUAGCUGGAAGAUGUUAAAUUACAAUGUCUCUUAAGUUAAAGGAACACUGUUUCAAACAAUUUAUAGAAAUAAAUAACCACUUAGAUGAAUUGAGGAGUCUGGCUCCUGGCCAAAAUUCUAUGAAUGAUCUCUCAGGCCCAACCACAGACAAUUACGAAGGCUUUACCUAGCCAGCCCAUGGGGGAAAGCUGCCUUCCUCGCACCAGAUUUGUUACACAGUCAGUACAUUAUACUCUAUGAAGGGAGUUUCAGUCAACAACUCAAGUUUCCCUGCAAGUGAUGCUCUCAUACAAAUAAUUUCAAGCCCUACCUCAGCUACCUUUGCUGAGACCUCCUUUUGGGAGGCGGGUGGAGGGGAGGAGGCAGAAACUUGAAGACACCUUUCUCCACUUUGACUCAGGAUUCAGUGCUUUUUGACUUCAUCCUUUCCUCCUUUCCCUGUCCCACCUAUGGGGUCAUGAAGCAGAAGGAACCUUGUGCUCAGGGCUCCCUCAGCAGUGAGAUGCUUCCCCAGGUCUGUGUUGAGCCAUCUGACGCUCUCCCAGUGGUGCCAUCCCAUAGGGGGAAAAUACAACAGUGAGUGAGUCAGCCCUUUCUCUGGGUUAACCUCUUGCUUAUCAUAGUAAGUGAUUAAAGCCUUGACUGUUGCUUUCAUUUUGGCUUGUUGCUUUCAUUCGAUAUUAUGACACCUGGCUCAGCUCAGUUCUCGACAACCAGAAAAUAAACUGAAUUUCUAAUACAUGUA